CGACCUGCAUGAAACAUAGAACGAUUCGAUAGCUGUCUUGCACACACAUCAUGGUAAAAUAUUCAUCAGUACGAAUAAUAUGCUGACUAAAGUUUAUUAACACUAAAGGACAAAAAGACCCUCUGAAGCUUUAUAGGGAUAAAACUUGGGUAACAUUCUCAAUACAAAUAUUCUUAUUGCAUGCCAGCUAAAGUAGUAAAUUAUUGGUUUUCUCCUAAGACCACUGUUUAAUUGGGGCGAUAACCUUAUCAACAGCCACCUAAGGUGAACAAAGCGAUACAAGGAUCCUAAACUUUUGACCAACUAAUAAGUGCAAAGAUACAUGUUUCGCUUAAUGGCCCAACAAGUCCUUCCCAGUACUUAAAUGCUAUCUUAAUGAGCUUUAAAUUAAUUUACCCGAGUUAAGCUACUCUACGGAUAACAGGCUUAAUUUCCGCAAUAUUAAAGGUCACAUUAUCACGAAAAAUGUACCUCGAUGUCGGCUUAUCAUC
rnacentral:rRNA from 1 species